rnacentral:tRNA from 1 species
GCGGGGGUGCCCGAGCUAGGUCAAAGGGGGCGGACCGCGACUCCGCUGGCGUUGGCCUGCCCGGGUUCAAAUCCCGGCCCCCGCACCA